UCCCAGUUCGGAUUGUAGUCUGCAACCCGACUACAUGAAGCCGGAAUCGCUAGUAAUCGCGGAUCAGAAUGCCGCGGUGAAUACGUUCCCGGGUCUUGCACACACCGCCCGUCACACCAUGGGAGUCGGAAAUGCCCGAAGCCGGUGACCCAACCCGAAAGGGAGGGAGCCGUCGAAGGCAGGUCGGAUGACUGGGGUGAAGUCGUAACAAGGUAGC
rnacentral:rRNA from 1 species